CGUAUUCGUUGUCUCUCCACCACCUCCUCGACUCUGUUCUUCCUCUAUUCCUUCGGAUCUUUUCUGAAUGGAUUGCUCUCUUUGUUUUUUGGUUUCGGAUUCGGUUAUGUCUCGUCGAGAUCUACAUGGUGGUGGUGGUGGUUUUGGUACGUGAGGAUCUCGUAUUCAGCUAAACAGAUUUUAGCUGGUGUUCCUAUGCCUCCGCAUCGUUUCAGAUCAGCUGUAACGAGCUGAGGCGUUGUAUUUAUGGCGAAUCGGAAGAGGCGUUGUUCUCUAAGACGACAGAUCAGUUAUUGAUUUAGUUGGAGAUUCGAGUUCCGGCACAAAUAUUGGUCGCACUGUGUUGACGUUAUUGUAAUUUGGCAAGUGGUAACAUGGAUUAAGGAUGUAUAAGAAAUCGGGACGAUAGGCUCGGUGAAUGAGCUGAGUCCUGGACCGAUCCUUUGUCAUCCGACCUUUGCCGUGGCAGGUGCGCUUGCAUGGCAGGUCAAAAAAAAAAUUAAUGAAAAAAAAGAAAUUUUUUUGGUUAGAGGGGGAGACGGCAUGGGUAUUUUGUUUUUGGCCCAGGGUCUCUCCCCUCUGUGUGCUCUCUGUCCAGUUUUACUUUUAUUUCUGCUCCUUUUGCUCUUCCAAUCCUGGCGAAAUCAGAUUCCGGACAACAUCAGCUACACCCAAGGUAUCAUCUAAAUCUGCAGUACAUCUUAAUUCGUUAUAUCUCGAGGCAACGUUAUAACGUACUUUCGUGCAUCUACAAGUGGGUGGGUAUACACGUAAAACACAAUCAUUAAUAAAAUCCACAGCUACUUCCGUGCAUAUACAUACACAUGGAAAUACAAUCCACAUCUGUAAUCAAAUCAUGUCUGUUUGGAAAUACAAUCCACAUCUGUAGUCAAAUCAUGUCUGUUACUUAUCGAUAAAUUGAUCUGCAAUUUCCAAUGAAGCUAUCAUUUUAAUAUUCUGCCGUUUUUUCCAUCUGUUUACAAACUGUUCGUUGCGUCUAUGUCAAGAUCCUAAUUUAUUGUUUUCACAGCGUAUUUACAAUUGUUCUAUGUUCUCGUAACGCAAUUUUUUGCUGGUUAUCAAUUUUUAAUGCUUUCUGCACUAUUGUAGAUUUUUUUACACAAUUUGUUCAAUUUGGUUAUGCCAUCAGAAGUAUUAUAGAUUUUAUAUACGAACUUCUACGUCCAUGUAUGUAUUGCAAGUAUUAUAGGAUGCAAUUGGAUUUGGUUUUGUUUUGGGCAUAUGAAGAAACUUGGGAGGCUUGGAGCUAUCUUCUUUCAAACUGAUGUGCGGUCCUUUCAAGGCUCAGAAAGAAGCACCUCUGUCACAGUAAUCCUUGCAAUACCGAGGUGAUAAACAAAAGAGGGUUAAUUUUAGUUCGUCUAAUUUUGAAGUUAAUUUCUCGAGGACUAUUGUUCUCUAAUAAUAGUAACGAAUAAUUCAACUAUUAUGUCUGUCUGACCCGGCACAGCUGUUCUUGAUUUUUUUAUAUUUCUUAUUUGAAGUUGAAAUUAAUUAAAUUUGUUGUGUAUCUGAGCGUUGGGAUAUUCCAAACGAUCCUAAUAUAUCCUUCUUUCUAUUACAGAGUUACAAUUCAUUAAAUUUGGUGUAUCUAAGUAUCGAAAUAUUUCCCUUUGUUGCUAGUUCGUUGAGUUAUAAGCUGUACUGUAUAUAAUAUGAUUUGAUGUUUUUCAAACUUAAAUUUAUAUAUAGUUGUGCCGCUCUUAUGUGCUGUUUUAUGUCAUGUUUUGUUCUUCAAUCAAAUUUUUGAUAAUUGAAAAUAUAAAUCAUGGUUGUGCUUAUUGGUGGUUAAUUACUGGAACGUGUUCUGUUUUUGAUGAUCUUUUAUUGCAUACUCGUUCAAGUUUGAUGUCUGGUGUUCUUUAAACCUUUUAAUGUUUUGAACUUGGUGUCUGGGUUUGGUUUUGAUAUUUUCUUCGAUCACACAGCAACUUCUACCUUCCUUCGGCACAUAAGGCGAGAUUAUAGAUUAAGUAGUUGAUGAUUGUUGAAAAAGUAUGUCGAGAGCUAGCGUAAUUCCUGAACAUACUUGCAAUAAGGUAUAUUGAACUGCAAUUUCUCUUUUGAUCCGGGUGCGGUGUGGUUUAUUUAAUACAAGAAAAGCUCAAAGACUGGGUAUUAAAGGGUCCGGAUGUUCUAACGAUCUUUUAACUCUUAAUGUUGUUCAACCGGGGAUUCAAGAUCUGCAAGCUCAAAAUGGCUGAGCGUCCUACCCUUGUGGUUUGGAUAAUGGUGGUUCGAAUCCACCCGGAUCUACAUUACGAUAUUGAUACAUAAGGAGCUUGAAAUUAAAGGAUAAGAUGAUGACACUGGGGGACCUAGAAUUUAAAAAUGAAAAAUUAGAUUUACCUAAUAGAAAUAAGAUUCAUCUUGCUAGGGUUGUUUCUCUGGUUUUCUGUUAUCUGAUUUCUUACUUUUCCUUUUUGUUUUUCUUGCUUUCGUUCUUCUCAAUUUGAUUGAAACUUAUAUCUUGAUGAAUGACAAUUGCCUUAACUCUUACCUGCUUUCAAUCUUCUGAUUUUACAAACAGUUUUCGGCUGAACUGAUAUUAGUGCUUCCUUGCAGGAUGAUAUGUUUGAUAGACGAAAUAAUGAGUUUGUUUUGGCUGAGUUCAAUAUUAAUGCUAGGAAGAGCAAUGUUCAGACAUUUGGUGUGUCGAAAUCAACCAUGGGAAGAGUCGACUCUACUUGCAUAUUUUGAUUCAGGGUCCAUGGCCAUAGACCUCGUUCGCAGACUAUGGUAGUCGCUUAUUCAAAGACGUUUUGUUUCAGUGUUUUCUUUUGUGGUUGUAGUUCCCUUUUAAACUUGCUUGUUGGUAGGGAGCAUUUGUGGAUUUCUUGUGAUGUGUUUACCUUUCUGAUGAACAUCACUGGCUUUCGUUAUUUAUUGUCA